UUAACGUGUCCGGGUAAUGCAGGCAGGUAACAGGAAAGGCCAUGUCAAGCGACCGGAUGAAAACUCGGCAUCGGCAUCGAGUUCGGCCCGACGCGGUUCAUUGCAAUUCAAAAUCACAUUCGUUUAUUGAUUACAGUUGUCAGAACUUUUGGAAGCUCACCAUGGACAGUGAUUUCAGAAACGUCCCAUGUAUGCGUCAAGCAACUGUCACCUACCCUAAUCAAACAAUAUUGUCAGAGUGUGAAGAUGCUUGCAUCUUCAUUUGGCAGUGAACAGUUUAGUUGAACGAACGAUGUUCCUGACAAUGGGAACCACUUCGAGGCUUUUUGUGGUUUUCAUAGUCGGUGCUGCAGUAUAUGUUGGUUGUUCGGCACAGAAGUUUCACAUUUCGACCUAUUCGAGUAACUGGUUCGAAGCGGCGGAGUAUUGCCACCGGCUUGGCAUGCGGCUGGCUCUGGUUAACACCGCAGAGAAGCACGAUGCCGUGGUCAAAGCUGCCAAUGCGACGGGGC